rnacentral:lncRNA from 1 species
AAACACUCAUAUAUCGCCCCCAUAAUAGGAGGAGUACCCUGGGAAACCCUACCAUAUAAGGGGAUGAUGACAGUCGACAUAACAUAAUUUUUAUGAAAAAAUUAGGAUGAAAUCAAAAGAAUAAUGAGUAAAAGUCAUGCCAAAGUGUGAAAAAUAAACUACAAAAAGGGGAAGAAUUGAGACUUAGAAGAAUUUUGAAGAAAAAGUGAAGAAAUUAUGAAGAAAU